GAUGAAGAACGUAGCGAAAUGCGAUACUUGGUGUGAAUUGCAGAAUCCCGUGAACCAUCGAGUCUUUGAACGCAAGUUGCGCCCGAAGCCAUUAGGCCGAGGGCACGCCUGCCUGGGCGUCACACGUCGUUGCCCCCCCAUCUACUCCUUCGGGAUUGCGGGGGGCGGAUGAUGGCCUCCCGUGCGCCUCGCCGCGCGAUUGGCAUAAAUGCCAAGUCCUCGGCGACGCACGCCACGACAAUCGGUGGUUGCGAAACCUCGGUUGCCCGUCGUGUGCGGUCGUCGCGCAUCGAGGGCUCGAAAAAAUUGCCGGGUUCCGGCUCGGCUUUCAACGCGACCCCAGGUCAAGCGGGGUUACCCGCUGAAUUUAAGCAUAUCAAUAAGUGGAGGA
rnacentral:misc_RNA from 1 species